rnacentral:rRNA from 1 species
CGGCGUGCCUAAUACAUGCAAGUCGAACGGUCUUUCUAUGGAAGCUUGCUUCCACUGAGAAGAUAGUGGCGAAACGGGUGAGUAACACGUGGGGUAACCUGCCCAUAAGAGGGGGGAUAACAUCCGGAAACGGGUGCUAAUACCGCAUAGUUUUCUUGAUCGCAUGAUCGGGAAAGGAAAGACGGCCUUUGUGCUGUCGCUUAUGGAUGGACCCGCGGCGUAUUAGUUAGUUGGUGAGGUAACGGCUCACCAAGACGAUGAUACGUAGCCGACCUGAGAGGGUGAUCGGCCACAUUGGGACUGAGACACGGCCCAAACUCCUACGGGAGGCAGCAGUAGGGAAUCUUCUGCAAUGGACGAAAGUCUGACGGAGCAACGCCGCGUGAGUGAAGAAAAGGUUUUCGGAUCGUAAAACUCUGUUGUCAGAGAAGAACAAGUUGGAGAGUAACUGCUCCAGCCUUGACGGUAUCUGACCAGAAAGCCACGGCUAACUACGUGCCAGCAGCCGC